GACGAACGCUGGCGGCGUGCUUAACACAUGCAAGUCGAGCGGAAAGGCUCCUUCGGGGGUACUCGAGCGGCGAACGGGUGAGUAACACGUGAGUAAUCUGCCCUGCGCUCUGGGAUAGCCACCGGAAACGGUGAUUAAUACCGGAUAUGACCACUCUAGGCAUCUAGUGGUGGUGGAAAGUUUUUCGGCGCAGGAUGUGCUCGCAGCCUAUCAGCUUGUUGGUGAGGUAAUGGCUCACCAAGGCUUUGACGGGUAGCCGGCCUGAGAGGGUGACCGGUCACACUGGGACUGAGACACGGCCCAGACUCCUACGGGAGGCAGCAGUGGGGAAUAUUGGACAAUGGGCGGAAGCCUGAUCCAGCAACGCCGCGUGAGGGAUGACGGCCUUCGGGUUGUAAACCUCUUUCAGUACCGACGAAGCGAAAGUGACGGUAGGUACAGAAGAAGGACCGGCCAACUACGUGCCAGCCGCCGCUGUAACAC
rnacentral:rRNA from 1 species